rnacentral:lncRNA from 1 species
GUGAGAUAGGGGGAGCAGGGUUGAAUCUUGCAGGGUAAAGGGGGGAAAUUGAAGAGGGAUUACCGAUGGAUGGAGACAUGGAUGGACAUGCCUAGCUACAGUGCUGAGAGCUAGCUACUAGCUGGAGUAGACGAAAGUACACUGUGAUUUGAUCCUUCUUCCAGUUUGCCAAGCAAGGAUGACAUGGCUGGCAGGUGCCUUUUUGCCUGGCCCUUCUGUCAGUACCUUUGCAUCAGAGAGUAUGAGGUUGGCAUAGUGGUUAA